GACGAACGCUGGCGGCGUGCUUAACACAUGCAAGUCGAACGGAAAGGCCCUGCUUUUGUGGGGUGCUCGAGUGGCGAACGGGUGAGUAACACGUGAGUAACCUGCCCUUGACUUUGGGAUAACUUCAGGAAACUGGGGCUAAUACCGGAUAGGAUCUCCUGCUGCAUGGUGGGGGUUGGAAAGUUUCGGCGGUUGGGGAUGGACUCGCGGCUUAUCAGCUUGUUGGUGGGGUAGUGGCUUACCAAGGAUUUGACGGGUAGCCGGCCUGAGAGGGUGACCGGGAAAAUUGGGACGGAGAUACGGACCAGACGGCAACGGGAGGCAGCAGUGGGGAAUAUUGCAAAAUGGGCGGAAGCCGGAUGCAGCAAAGCCGCGUGCGGGAUGACGGCCUUCGGGUUGUAAACCGAUUUCGCCUGUGACGAAGAGUGAGUGACGGUAAUGGGUAAAGAAGCACCGGCUAACUACGUG
rnacentral:rRNA from 1 species